rnacentral:rRNA from 1 species
UACAGAGGGGGCGAGCGUUAUUCGGAAUUAUUGGGCGUAAAGGGCGCGUAGGCGGCCUUUCAAGUGACGGGUGAAAUCCCUCGGCUUAACCGAGGAACUGCCUGUCAGACUGGAAGGCUUGAGACCGGGAGAGGUGAGUGGAAUUCCCAGUGUAGCGGUGAAAUGCGUAGAUAUUGGGAGGAACACCAGUGGCGAAGGCGGACUCACUGGACCGGUACUGACGCUGAGGCGCGAAAGCGUGGGGAGCA